rnacentral:rRNA from 1 species
CUACGGGAUGCUCCAGUGGGGAAUAUUGCACAAUGGAGGAAACUCUGAUGCAGCAACGCCGCGUGGAGGAUGACGCUUUUCGGAGCGUAAACUCCUUUUAUAUAGGAAGAAGAUGACGGUACUAUAUGAAUAAGCGCCGGCUAACUCCGUGCCAGCAGCCGCGGUAAUACGGAGGGCGCAAGCGUUACUCGGAAUCACUGGGCGUAAAGAGCGUGUAGGCGGAUUAAAAAGUCAGAAGUGAAAUCCUAUAGCUUAACUAUAGAACUGCUUCUGAAACUCUUAAUCUAGAAUAUGGGAGAGGUAGAUGGAAUUUCUGGUGUAGGGGUAAAAUCCGUAGAGAUCAGAAGGAAUACCGAUUGCGAAGGCGAUCUACUAGAACAUUAUUGACGCUGAGACGCGAAAGCGUGGGGAGCAAACAGGGUUAGAUACCCGCGUAGUC